ensembl:ncRNA T20F5.1 ncRNA
UGGCCACGGAAAAUAAAACUAGGCCAUUCGAAAAAAGGAGCUUUUUCUCAAAAAAAAUUGCUUCUGAGCAUUUUGGGUAAGUUAACUUAUAAAUUUAAUAAAUUAUAUCCUAGCAAAAUAUUUCAAAUUUCUUGGAAAUUUAUGUACUUACAGUAAGAAAAAAGCUGCAAACUUAGUUAUUUUGAAAGUCGACCAAAAAAUAGUUUGCAAUGCUCGAAAUUACUCAAAAAGUAAUUUGGAAAAUUUGGCAGUUUACCAAAAACUUCAACUGAAAAUUUUUUUUUUAAAUCUAGAAAUUUAUUUUUUGGGUUACAAAUAUAUUUUAUAG